UGUGGCACUGGCUGUCUGACCUGUUUCUUCGCAACUCCCUUUUUGCAGUGUCCCCCUCUUGCAGUGCCCCAGGCUUCCCUGCUCUGUCCCAGCUUAUCCAAACUCAGUUGAGCCGGGAUUGCCCCAGAGACCUGUUCAUCACUAAAGUUACAUGAUGCCUUCUCACGAAGAGGAGAAAAUGCAGCUCAAAACUGGUGAACAUCUUUCUACCCCAUCUCCUAGAGAAAGCCCUUGAAGACAUGGAGGAGAGGAGGGAUUCUCUUUACAGAUAACCUCAAGCUGUCUAAGUACUUUUAUGCUUGACUUCCACAACUUCCAGAUAUCAUUCACAGGACAUGAAGCUAUUAACCAGACAGAGGACAAACAUAUUUGUGAAUGUCAGUGUAUUAAAUAUUCACAACAUUCAGCAUGAAUCUUUUCAAUUGUUAUGUCAGGGGAAAUAAAAAGGAAGCCAUUUUUAAAA